GCGCGCUCUGAUUGGAGAAAGGAACCAUCACUUGAUAGGGCCGUUGGGCUGGGAGGAAGAGGGCCCAGGCCGAAGGUGACGCUGAGGCGGCGGAGGUGCAGAGGGGUGAGCGGGCUGAGAGAGUGAGCCACAGCAACACGUCGGGCACUCUUCGACAUCUCUCUGCGGUGAAUGGCGGCCGGAUGGAGCACGAGGGGAGCGGCGGCAGCGGGGGGUCUGCCGGGCUCCUGCAGCAGAUCCUCAGCCUGAAGCUCGUGCCGCGGGUGGGCAACGGGACCCUGUGCCCCAACUCCACUUCUCUGUGCUCCUUCUCAGAAAUGUGGUAUGGUGUGUUCCUGUGGGCACUGGUGUCCUCUCUCUUCUUUCAUGUCCCCGCUGGAUUACUGGCCCUCUUCACCCUCAGACAUCACAAAUAUGGUAGGUUCAUGUCUGUAAGCAUCCUGUUGAUGGGCAUCGUGGGACCAAUUACUGCUGGAAUCUUGACAAGUGGAGCAAUUGCUGGAGUGUACCGAGCAGCAGGAAAGGAAAUGAUACCAUUUGAAGCCCUCACCUUGGGCACUGGACAGACAUUUUGUGUAGUGGUGGUCUCCUUUUUACGGGUUUUAGCGACUCUAUAGCAUAUACCCUUAUGCUAUAAUGGUGAAUCGAAGUUUUAUAGAAUCCUCAAAAAGAAUACAAUAAGGAAUGUAGUGUUUUCUUAGUUCUUCAAAUGGAAGCAACUUGGAUAAAAAAGUAUGUGAAGAACGCCAUCUCAGCCCUUUCUUCAAUUUGAAGCUGCAGGAAUUGAAGAUCUUUUUGGAUUCCUCUUGUUCUCAACCAAAACAAAUCAAGUUUUAUUUUGUUUUGAUAGUUAAUUUAAGCAGUUUUAGAGGUGCACCUUUACCCAAAGCCACGUCAACAGUGCUUCUGGGAUAGCAGCCUUCAUGCUGAAAUUUGCAAUAUGCUGUGAGAAAAUGCAAUAUUGCAAAUUUCAGAGAAACGAUGGAAAAUAUUGGUUUAUUUCUGAGCAGAGUGUACUGUACUAAAAUCUUAUUUGAUCUCCUCUAGAUUAAAAUUUGGCAGACUCUUCUUUUGUUACAUCUUCUUGACAAUAAGUGCCAAGUAGGUUUUGGCUGAGUAUAGUAUAGCUUUAAGAACAAAUUUGGUGAAAUAUAACAGGAAAAAAAUACCUAUAACACAAGCAGUGAUUUUGAUUCCACUGUUAAAAAAAAAAGAUUAACUACUGAAUGAUGUGACAUUUUAUGGAUAACUAUCUUGACCUCUGAUUAUUUAAUAUAUUUUAAGAGAUGUGAAUUUGUUGUUUUGUGUAUUUUAACAAAAUAAGCUAGCUAAUUGUGCCGUUUUUUUCCUCCAGAAUUCCAGUAUCACAUUUUCCUAUCACUUUUAUUCUAUUAAUUUUAUUUAGUUUAAUUGGAAACAUACACUAUUAAAUAGCUCUAGUUGAAAAUUUUAAGCAGAUGAGUUAGGGUACUCUUUUGACUUUGAGGGACACAAAAAAGAUACUUUAAACAUCCUGUUAGUUUUUCUUAAUGACUUUGAGAAAUUGUAGAAGUGUCACUUCAACUAGAGUUAGUUCUUACUGAUUUUCUUUUCGUCUUAUUUUCAGGGAAACACGGUAGUUACUUCUCUUCUUAGUGAAGUAACUAAGUGAGCUGAAGUAACUUAAUGAAGUAAUCUCGUGGUGGGUCUUCAGCCCACUUUUACAGUAUUGGGUGUCACUCCCAGAAAGUGCCUAAGGUUUAAUUUUCAAGAUAUGCCUUCUACUGUGCCCUUUACAUUUUCCUUCAAGAGAAUUUUUGUCCUUAAAGAGAAAUAUCAGAGCUUUUCUAACCCAAUUUUAGCUUUAAAUUUUUCUCCUACUGCCUAACUUUCUUUUUCAUUAAAAGGCCUGAAAACCGUGACCUCAAAACAGAAAGGAUUUUAAAAAUUAAGUAUCUAACUUGAUCCUUACCACCUAAACUAUUUUGUUUGGAAUACAAUCAAUGUUGUUGUCUGUUUUCAAAAUCGUUUCUGGUAAUUAAGUCUAACAUUUUAAAGGAAAGUUUCCAUUGUAAAAGUAAGGCUGACAGCCCAUGAGGUCAUAUACACAGGAAUGUGUCCAUUCCAUUUAAAGCAAUAUGCAUUUUGGCUUCUGAUUAAAAAUACCCAAGAGGACCAAUUUACCAAGGAUAGUCAAAGAGAAAAAUUACAAAGGGAUCCAAAAAUUAACUGGACAUUUUCUUUUAACUAAUAGGACUUUAGACCACUUAACAAAAUCACAGUGACAGAAACUCAGACGAGAUGGAAAAUUACGAAUAAGAAUGUAGGCAAAUGUCCUUACAAAUACUCCAACAAGAUUACUCUUCAAUGCUCUAAUCUUUCUUUCAAGUAAAUUUUAAGUCUUUAAAGACUUUUUCAGUUCAAGGAGCUGUGAUUUUGAAAAGUAGCCCUUCAGUUUAAGAAAUUUGGGCGUGUUGUAUCCUUUAUUAUAAGAAAUAAUUUUAAUCAUCUCUGUUGAAGGAUGCCUCUUAGUGUUCUUACAUAAAUCAUUCUUUUGGAUAGAAUUUCACAACUUGAACAUGUGGGCCAGUGGUUGGUGAGCCCCUUCCCUGAAUAUUAAUUUUUGAACAUGCUGAUUUGUUUGUUUGAUUGAAAUGUUUGGUUAUUUUUCUUUUAGAGCCAAGACACAAAAAUUAAUGAAUUUUGAAAGGUGUCUUCUGUUUCCACCUGUUUAUUGUUUGCUAUAUUUUGACUAUCCACUCUUUUUAAAAACUUCAAAUACAAAAUGUAUCCUCAAAUUAUUGAAUGUUUCAUCCAUCCCAGUAUGUGAACAUUCUCCUGUGAAUAAAUGUAUAUAUACCUUACAUAGAUUGAUCUUUGUAGCUUGAAAUUUUUUUCAGGAAGAAACUAUUUGAAAGAUAAAGAAUGUCUAUUCCUCCUCAUUUUUGUUUUUUUGUUUUUUGUUUUUUUUUUAAUUUCUCAUGUCAAAUACAGAAUUAUUUGAAGUUGGUUACUCAGAUGAAAAAUAUAUGCAUUUGUGUUGAACAUUUUAUUUUACCAAAAAUUUUGAGAAUUUUUCCUAACAUCUGACUUUCUUAGAAACAUAUAUAACUACCCCAUGCCCCAGUUGUGUGUCCACUUUUUCUUUUUUUUUUUAAAUGCAGAGAAGGAAGUCAGCCCUCAAC